GCCGCCCGGGGAGUCCGGGUUCGAGGUCUCUCUGCGGCGCGGGCGUGGGUGUUGGCCCGACGAAGCGUUUUGGUUUGUUUUUGUUGUUUUUUUUCCCGCGGUGGCUCCCAAGUUCUGCUUCUGAGGCUGCGCCCGGCUGGGGGCUCAGCGCGCCCGGCCCCACCCUUCAGGGGAACCUAGGAACUGCUGACUGGGGCGCCCGGCGCGCGGUGGACCAGGCUCACGCGGGUCGCCGCCGCCCCUCGCGGCUGGGCGGCCCGGCUCAUCCGCAGGGUCCUGGCGGCCCCACUCUCCGCGUCCCUGAGCCUCUUUUUCGUCCCUUUCGCGCGCCCACGGCGGCGCGAGGGCCUCAGUUCCCGAAAGGGACUCCCCCUGGGGUUCAUGAGACAGACUCAGGCCACCCGGGCGUAGUAGCUCCGUUUUCCCCGAAAAACGCCGUCUCUCGCGUCCUUGGCGACGGUGACCGACCGCCUCCGGCUUGGACAGCCGUCGUGGUUGUUUUUAAAGACACCCCCGUUUCACGGACACCGAACCCUGAGGAACCGUAAGCUUUCUCAGUCAGUUCCUGAGAGUGACUUUUUUCCCUGACUAAAGCGGCUUACUGACUGUUGGGGUUGGAAUUAAGCCUUUCUGUGCGUGAGAGCCCUGGCCACUGGAUGUCAGCCCCCUGCAGGCGGGGGUCUGUGUCUUGCUCUUUGUGACCUCUUCUGUCCUGGGGUAGGGCUUUGUGUAGGGUCAGCAUCUAGUAAAUGUUUGCGGAAUUGAAAUGUUAAGUGAAAGAACUAAUCAAGAACCGCUAACUGAGCAUCUUAAAAAAAAAAAACCUGUUCUAGAACCCCCCACCGGAAUGUCUUUUUUUUUUUUUUUCUUUCCUGCGAAGUAUCCGAUGCUGCUUCAGGCUUGAACCCAGCCUGAGGGACCACAUCUGAGAGGACCCUGCCUGUGUCUGUGGUAUCCGCUUGAAGUCCUCAGGUUGUUGAGGAAUGGGCCAUCUCCAGCAGUGUUAAAUGUUCAACAUAUGACCAUCCACGUAGGAGAUGGCUGCUUUGCAAAGGAGAGGGCUGCAGACAAGGAUUCUCAGCUCUGAAGAAGAGGAGAAACUGAAGAGAGACCAAGCUUUAGUGUCUGAUUUUAAACAGCAGAAACUGGAAAAAGAGGCUCAGAAGAACUGGGACCUUUUUUACAAAAGAAACAGCACUAAUUUCUUCAAAGAUAGACACUGGACCACCAGAGAGUUUGAGGAGCUCAGAUCAUGUAGAGAGGUUGAAGAUCAGAAAUUGACUAUUCUUGAAGCUGGCUGUGGGGUUGGGAACUGUUUAUUCCCACUUUUAGAAGAAGAUCCAGAUAUCUUUGCCUAUGCCUGUGAUUUUUCUCCAAGAGCUGUGGAAUACGUCAAGCAAAAUCCUCUUUAUGACACAGAAAGAUGCAAGGUGUUCCAGUGUGAUCUGACCAGAGAUGACCUUCUGGAGCACGUGCCCCCAGAGUCUGUGGAUGCUGCCACACUGAUAUUUGUGCUCUCUGCAGUUCACCCUGAUAAGAUGCACCUUGUCUUACAAAACAUUUACAAGGUAUUAAAACCAGGCAAAAGUGUCCUGUUUCGUGACUAUGGGCUGUAUGAUCACGCCAUGCUUAGGUUUAAAGCCGGGAGCAAACUUGCAGAAAACUUCUAUGUUAGACAAGAUGGGACCAGAUCAUAUUUUUUCACUGAUGGUCUCUCCAGAAAGUAUCUUCCAGUAUGUGCCUGGAAGAUACCGUCCUAGCUACCCGUGGUCUGGGAGCCAAGCCAGCGAAGAGUGGGGUGGAUCUCAGCCCUUGGCACGUCUUCCUAAGAAUGACCUGAAAUUUUCAGCUGAAAAAGAAGUAGUCUUCUUUUGAAGAAUCCCUUCAAAGUCUACGUUCAUUUGAAAAUGUGGUAACCGUCUUAGUUGAUGUCCCCAAAAGCAGAACCCAAGGCUAAAACGCUGGAGCUGGCCACAGCGGCCCUGCAAACGCGGAUAGACCUGGAAACCAAUGCGCUAAUAGAGAGGAGCCAGACACAAAAGACCACCCAUUGUUUGAUCCCAUUUACAUGAAAUUUCUGCAAAGAGGAGAUACUAUGGCUAUGGAAAGCAAAUCAGUGGUUUCCCAGAGGCUGCUGGGAACAGGGAUUGAGUACAAAAGAGCGUGAGGAAAAGCUUCAGGGUGCUGGAACUGUCCUAAAACUGGAUUGUGGUGGUGGCUGCAUAGUUGUGAAAACGUAUGAUAAGCCAAUUACACAAUCACGCUUUCUGAGGGAGAAAGAAAAGGAAAAACAGGAGGGGGGAGGGAGAAAAGCCCUGGGAACUGUAGGAAGCAACUUCUAGUUGCUGUGGGGUAGACGAGCUCCCUGAUGAAAGAGUUACAGCACCUUCACUCGCAAGUGACAUCCAGCAGCCCCUGAAAGCAAACCUUGGCCCCCAACACACCCUCGAGGGGAAAACAGGACCUGUUUUGCACAGGAACUUCAAGAUGAGCCUUCUCCCCUCCCCUCCAACAGGGUGGCCCUCAGCUGCUUCAGGACAAGCAGGUCAGCAUAGCACCAAAUGGGGAACCGUGCAGUUGGGCUUCUGAAUUUUCUAGCAGAUACAUAAAAAAUGGAAGCAGAAAUAGACUGCAUUAACUUUCACAAUAUGUUUCCUUUAACCCAGUAUGUCCAAAGUGUGAUCCUUUCAGUGUAUCAUCAAUAUAAAAACUAUUGCAAUAGUUUACUUUCUUUCUUUCAUACGAAGCCUUCAAAGUCUGUUAUGAGUCGAAUGGCAUUUUUCAAAUUUGACCAGCUUCAUUUUCAAGUGUUGGAAGGCCACAGGUGGCUACGGCCUUGGACAGCACAGGCCUAGAGGCAUCUUGUCAAUACUCCAGAGACUUCAGAUUGUUCGAGGAGAGAAUCGUUUUCCUGCAGACGCCCACUGCCAACUAAACAAACAAUGAAAGGAGACACGGGUUCAAUCCUUGGUCUGGGAAGAUCCCACAUGCUGUGCAGCAACUAAGCCCUUUGCCACAACAACUGAGCCUGUGCUCUGGAGCCCAGGAGCUGCGACUCCUGAGCCCACAAGCCCCAGCUAAUGGAGCCUGAGUUCUGCAGGCCUGCGCUCCUCCACGAGAGGCCCCACCCCAGUGAGAAGCCCGCACACCGCAAGGCGAGAGGAGCCCCUGCUCACCACAACUAGAGAAGACCCCGAGCAGCAAGGAAGACCCCGCA